GACGAACGCUGGCGGCGUGCCUAAUACAUGCAAGUCGAACGCAGUGGGGACGGGUGAGUAACACGUGGGUAACCUCCCAUCAGAGGGGAUAACACUUGGAAACAGGUGCUAAACCGAUACUGAUGGAUGAACCCGCUGUUCAUUAGCUAGUUGGUGAGGUAACGGCUCACCAAGGCCACGAUGCAUAGCCGCCCUGAGAGGGGGCAAGGCAACACUGGAACUGAGACACGCCCCAGAUUCCUACGGGACGCAGCAGAAGGUAAGUUUCGGCAAUGGACGAAAGUCUGACCGAGCAACGCCACGUAGGUGAAGAAGGUUUUCGGAUCGUAAAACUCUGUUGUUAGAGAAGCGGUAUCUAACCAGAAAGCCACGGCUACUACGUGCCAGCAGCCGCGGUAAUAC
rnacentral:rRNA from 1 species